AGGGAAUCUUCCGCAAUGGACGAAAGUCUGACGGAGCAACGCCGCGUGAGUGAAGAAGGUCUUCGGAUCGUAAAACUCUGUUGUUAGGGAAGAACAAGUGCCGGAGUCACUGCCGGCACCCUGACGGUACCUAACCAGAAAGCCACGGCUAACUACGUGCCAGCAGCCGCGGUAAUACGUAGGUGGCAAGCGUUGUCCGGAAUUAUUGGGCGUAAAGCGCGCGCAGGCGGUCUUUUAAGUCUGAUGUGAAAGCCCACGGCUCAACCGUGGAGGGUCAUUGGAAACUGGGAGACUUGAGUGCAGAAGAGAAGAGCGGAAUUCCACGUGUAGCGGUGAAAUGCGUAGAGAUGUGGAGGAACACCAGUGGCGAAGGCGGCUCUUUGGUCUGUAACUGACGCUGAGGCGCGAAAGCGUGGGGAGCAAAC
rnacentral:rRNA from 1 species